rnacentral:rRNA from 1 species
UACGUAGGGGGCAAGCGUUGUCCGGAAUCAUUGGGCGUAGAGCGCGUGUAGGCGGCUCGAUAAGUCCGCUCUGAAAGUCCAGGGCUCAACCCUGGGAUGCGGGUGGAUACUGUCGGGCUCGAGUCCGGAAGAGGCGAGUGGAAUUCCCGGUGUAGCGGUGAAAUGCGCAGAUAUCGGGAGGAACACCAAUGGCGAAGGCAGCUCGCUGGGACGUGACUGACGCUGAGACGCGAAAGCGUGGGGAGCAAACAGG